AAAAUUUGUGCCGGUACGUUCGCGUGCACGGCAGGUACAGAUACUUUGCUUCGUACAUUGGUCGGUUCUUUUGCGCUAACACCAGUUUAUUGCGCUUCGAUAUCUCGCGUUAUUUAACUUGGGGUGUAAGCCCGAAAGCUAGGUUUCAGUCGUGAGCCAUGUGGAACGCGUCUGCAUCGAAAUGGGAGCCGGGUCCUGCUGCGACUGGGGACAGCAAUACCGACAUGCAGUAAUGAGGAUGGCACCAGUAUAAAGCAACACACUCCAUGCACUAAAUAGAAGCUGCUGUCUGCUACAACAAGGUCAUUGUGUGGACUUUGGCUGCUACUACAAGAGUAUGUGCCAAGUACAUCUUGGUCAUCACGGGAGCCCCCAUCUACACCAACAGGAAGGGGCUGGAGCUGAAUUCGCAAGACCACGAACAAAGAAGCCAUUCCAGAAUUAUUUGGAUGAGAUAUCAAGUCUACGGACGACUGUUUUAAGAGUGAAAAGAGCCUACGCCAUCAUUCCACCAGCACGGAUAUUGGCAGAGUCAUCCAGGUACCUCAACAACAAAAAUUCUGUGUCUUCAGUUGGACCUGCAACCUCUGAACAAGCACAGACGACGCUGGCUAAGAGUGUUCUGUCAGCUUCCCCUUCCUUAGUGAGCUUCCUGGCCUGGCCAAUUCGUGCCAAGUAUAACUUUGUUUCAAUGAAUGCAAGCUUUUUCAUUCCACAUUUUUGUUAGAGAUCAUUCCUAUUCCUCAUCCAAACAUUAAAGGUCAAUCGAUUCUUUGCUCAUACUUAAUACCAGUCACUCUCUAGAAGAAUAACAUAUCUGUAGCAGCACUUUCUAGCGUAUGUUGCCAUGUGCAAUUCCUCUCCUGAAAUAGCUGAUGCGGCAUUGGCGGGUGUCUUGCAUUAACCUUUACACUGUGUGCUAUGUAGCAUUUAACUUUUGUUAAUGUUUUUGGCUCUCAGUGGUUUAAAGGUAGGGUGGCUUCUUUCUUGAAUGCAAGCUUUCUCAUUCCCAUAUUGAAUUCCUAGUCUCGUUCAGGAUUUCUAUUCUUGCUCGACAGCCUGUGUUUUUGUGCAAGCUACAUUGAAGUGAUUGAUUGCAGAAUCUGGUUUCGCUGCUGUCUGACUUGGUACUUGUCACCGUGUUACGUUUCUCAUAUGUGGGAGUUUGGUCAGUAGCAUUGGGAAACAGUCUCUCGAGCCAAGCACCUGCUCCUACAGUUUGCACAGUGACAUAGACUGCGAAUUUACACGCACCGUGGUUGGUGCUCCCUGUUCCGUCCUUUCCUGCUGCUGCCAUGUGCAAAUUUUGCUUGUGGCCUUCCUCGGCCAUAAUUUGGCAUCAUAAUUACAUAAUUCUAAGUGUAUGAAGUUGAUAUCCACAUGUGUGGAAAGGCCUGCAAAAGUGGCUGCAAAAUGGUGAUGUCCACAAAACUGACCAUGCCCAUAUAUAGAGAAUGUGGGGGACCAAGUGUGAAUUGCACAUUAGUGGCAUGCAAAAGAACAAAAAGAAACAUGCAGGUUGGAAAGGCGGUAACGCUAAAAUGCCGGGCACUACAUGUCGCUGUGUUGGCUGUGGCAGCAGAUGCUUGCCUCACCCGAUUGCUUUGCAAUGCAAGUUGCUCAUAUUCAACGCCGAUUGUCGUUGCAAACACGUGGGACACACUGUACAAUCUGCUUGCGCUGCUGGUUGUUGCUUGUUGCCAGACUACCGUGUGCGACGAAGGCAAGCACUGUGCCUACAGUCGGACGGUUGAAUGUGCCGCAAGCAACCCGUGUGCAUGUAUGCUCACUGUUGUCAUGUAGAUCGUAGCCAAUGUAGUAUAGUGCCAAUAUUGAGCGUUAUGUUAGAGUAUGCUGAAGUGAUUUGAUUGCAGAAUCUUGUUUCAAUGUUGUCCCACUUGGUCAUGGUUGCCGUGUUACAUUUCUGGGAUGUGGCAACCUGUUCAGUUGUAUUGGCCAACGGCCUCUCGAGGUAAGCACCUGCUCCUGCAGUCCGCACAGUGACACAAACUCCCUGUUUACAUGUACUGCUAUUAGUGCUCCCUGUUUGUCCUUUCCUGCUGCAGCCAUGGGUAAAGUGUGCUUGUGGCCUUCUUUGGCCGUGAUUUGGCGUGAACAGAGACUAUCGUACAUGAUUACAUGGUUUGCAGCGUAUGAAGUUGAUAUCCACAAGGUGGAAAGGCCUGUAAAAGUGGCUGCGAAAUGGUUAUUCCCACAAAACAGACCACAUCCAUAUUGAGAGCAGGUGGGGCACCAAGUGUGAUCGACAAAUUAGCGGCCAUCGAAAGGACAAAAAGAAACGUGCAUGUAAGAAAGGAGGUAACGCUAGGAUGCCAGGUAGUUCAUGUUGCUGUGUUGGCUAUGGCAGCAGGUGCCUGCGUCACCCGAUUGAUUCGCAGUGCAAGUUACAGCGACUGUCAGUGCAAACAGGUGCGGCACUGUCCAAUCUGCUUGUGCUGCUGGUUGUCACUCGUUACUAGACCACCAUGUGCGACGUAGGCAAGCACAGUGCCUGAAAUCGGAUAGCUGAAUGUGCUGUAAGUGACCUGUAGUGCGUGAAUGCCCACUGUUGUCAUGUGGAUCUUAGCCAAUGUACAGUGUAUUGUCUGAACCUUAUGCGGUGAUUGAAUGCAGUCUAAUUUGAUAAUGGUCGCCGUGUUAUGUUUCUUCGAUGUGGUGACCUGGUCAGCUGCACGGGCAACAGUCUCCCGAGGUAACCAUCUGCUCCUGCAGUCCACACAGCGACAAAGACUCCCAAUUUAUAUGCACUGUAAUUGGUGCUCUCCCCAUUCGACAUUUCCUGCUGCAGCCGCCGGCAAAUUAUGCUUGAAGGCCUUCAUCGGCCGUGAUGUGGCGUGAGCGGAGACCAGCACACGUUAUUACAUGGUCCGAAGUUGAUAGCCACAUGGGUGGAAAAGCCUUCUAGUUUGCAUAAUGAAUCCUUACCAACUAGCUCAGCUUUCUGUCGUUCUAAGCCUGCAAAAGUGGCUGCAAAAUUGUGAUGCCCAUAUUGAGAAUGUGGGGCACCAACUAUGAGUUACACAUUAGCGGCCCCUGAAAGAACAAAAAGAAACGUGCAGGCUGGAAAGGCGAGAACGCUCAAAUGCCGUUUAAUCCAUGUUGCUGUGUUGGUUGCGGCAGCAGAUGGCUUGCGUCACCUGAUUGCUUCACAAUGCAAGUUGCGGCGACUGUCGAUGCAAACAGGUGGUGCACUGCCCAAUUUGCUUGCGCUACUGAUUGUUGCUCGUUACCGCGCUACUGAUUGUCGCUCUUUACCAGAUCGCCAUGUGCGACGACGAAAGUGAGCAGUUUACGAGCUCGCGUUAAUGGUUUCAGCGCAUCUCGACAUGCAAAUUUUAUUUCUGAUCUUGUAUGAGAAGGUGCACUGCUAAUAAAGUCGCACGUCCUGUUCACUCA